CCCAGGUCCCAGUUUCCCAAUUCUCAGCGUGUCCCCCCUCCCCUAUGCCACACUCUGACCCCUCUCCCACUCUCAGGGGUGCCCCCUUUUUCUUGCGCACCCCAAAGAGAGGUGUCAGUGCAGAGGGUUGGGGAUAUUUUGGGAGCAAACCUCCCGUGGGCUGAAGCGUUUGCGUUUCAGCCUCACUGCCGCUUUCCACCAAUAACCCGCCUUCCCUGGGACUGGGGAGGCACAGUUGAAUAUUUGGGUGUGGGGAGAGAUCUGCCCUUCUGAAGCCCCCAUGUCACUCCCCCCCCCCCACACACACAUCCCGCUCUCUGUGUCCCUCUGGUCCCCCAGCCCCGCUUUCUGGGCCUCCCGGAUCACCCUGCUCCCCUGGCACCACAGCCCUCUGGUGCCCUCCUGUCGCUGCGCCUUGUGCCACUGAGCCGUUGUGGGGUUUGCUGUGUUGCAGCCAUGGCCUGUGGCGCUCUGGCGGAGGAGCUGGAUGCCGUGCUGAGCGGGAGGGGUUGGGAGGUGCAGGAGAGGUACGACUCUGCCCCUGUGCCCGCUCACCCUGUCAGAGUGCGGAAGACCGCCUGCUACAUCGUCCUGGCUGUCCUGCUUAACGACCAGAACGAGGUGCUGAUGAUGCAGGAGGCCAAGCAUGAGUGCUAUGGGACGUGGUACCUGCCUGCCGGGAGGAUGGAGCCCAACGAGACCAUCCUGGAGGCCAUGAAGAGGGAGGUGAAGGAGGAGACGGGGCUGGAGUGUGAGCCUCUCACCCUGCUGGCAGUGGAAGAGAGAGGCUCCAUCUGGAUUCGCUACGUCUUCCUCGCUCGGCCAACUGGCGGGACCUUGAAGGCACCCCAUGAUGCAGAUGCUGAAUCCCUCCAAGCCAGGUGGUGGGACAGAGAAUCUCCUGCCCUUCCUCUGCGAGCUCGGGAUAUCCUGCCCCUUAUGGACCUUGCUGUGCGAUACCGAGACAGCCCAUCCUACCCCAUGACCUUGCCGGAGGAGAUGCCCUGUGCCUUGAUCUGCCAGAGGCUCCUGGCUACGUUCACCAAUGAUGCCGGUGACUUGUGGGUGCUGCUGAGUGCUGUAGGGGCCCCACACCUGCCAGUGUGUGCCCGCACCACCUCCCCCUGCAAAAUCCAAAACAGCAUCCAGGCAGCAGCCUGCAGCCUGCUGAAGGAAUGCUGCCUGCUACCGCAAGUGACUGUCCGGGCCCACGGGGUUCUGGGGCUGCAGCACCUGGGCAAGAAUGCAGGGAAAUCUGACGGUGUUUGCUUCAACGUGCUGCUGACUGUUACGCAGGGUGACCAGAGCACCCAGGAGACGCCACCAGAGCUGCAGGGUGAGAGCUUCCAGUGGUGGAAGAUCAAGGAGAGCAACUUGAGAAGCAGAAUCCUCCAGAGGCUCAGCUCGUCAGCCGUUGUCCCAAUUCACAGCUACUGACACAGGAUCUCAUUGAAGCUUGGAUUCAGAGACCUUUCCCUGGGCAUGGGACACGCUUCACCCCGUUACGGCCAUUGGCUGUCCCCACGCAGCCAUCCCGAGGAUGAUGCAUGGCUUCACCGCAGGGCACGUCCUACUCAGCCGCUGCCAACCACAGACCCAUUUCCCCAGCAUGGUUAUGGAAGGAUAAUCUGGUACAGCUACACUGUCCCUGCUUCUGGCAACCAUGAAGAAAGUGUGAGAGAAACAAACUGGAGUCCAGCUGAACUGUGAGAAAAUUAAAGGGAAUCCUCUGGGAUAACGUUAAGACAAACACUUAGGUUUUAUUUACAAAUAGGUUUUCCCAAAGGCAGUGUGAAUACACGUUUUCACAACCCAAAUGUAAGCGAAAACUGGUUUGGUUUAGGAAGUAAAUAUUUCCCUUCAGCACUGGUAAAAACCAUUUGAGCACUGAAAAACAGACUAGAAACGGCAGUGAAAAUGACCAGACUUAGAUCACUAUCCCAGCUCAGCACAAUGCAUAAAAAUACCCUAAGUAAUGCUUUGCCCUUCCAAUGUACAUUUUAAGGCUCUCAUAGUGUUUCACAAACAUUAUUAAUUAAUUUAUAUUGCUUAAUGAACUUCACUUGAAUAAAUUAAGCUUCUCAGCUGCCCUAUGGUGAAAAAAAUCAAUUAGAUUAUUUUUUCAUUUUCAAAAGGUUUGUUGUUAUUCAUCAGUCCUACAACAUGAUGAAAUGGAAAAAACAAGCAAGAAUGAAUCAUCGUAGAGAUAAAGGGUAGACAGUACUGAGUGUACCUGAUUUUUAUAAACAAAGCUGUAGCUCAUGAAAGCUUAUGCUCAAAUAAAUUGGUUAGUCUCUAAGGUGCCACAAGUACUCCUUUUCUUUUUGAGAAUACAGACUAACACAGCUGCUACUCUGAAACCUGACAAUAAAGACUAAUAUUUCCA